rnacentral:rRNA from 1 species
UACGGGAGGCAGCAGUGGGGAAUAUUGCACAAUGGGCGCAAGCCUGAUGCAGCCAUGCCGCGUGUAUGAAGAAGGCCUUCGGGUUGUAAAGUACUUUCAGCGGGGAGGAAGGGAGUAAAGUUAAUACCUUUGCUCAUUGACGUUACCCGCAGAAGAAGCACCGGCUAACUCCGUGCCAGCAGCCGCGGUAAUACGGAGGGUGCAAGCGUUAAUCGGAAUUACUGGGCGUAAAGCGCACGCAGGCGGUUUGUUAAGUCAGAUGUGAAAUCCCCGGGCUCAACCUGGGAACUGCAUCUGAUACUGGCAAGCUUGAGUCUCGUAGAGGGGGGUAGAAUUCCAGGUGUAGCGGUGAAAUGCGUAGAGAUCUGGAGGAAUACCGGUGGCGAAGGCGGCCCCCUGGACGAAGACUGACGCUCAGGUGCGAAAGCGUGGGGAGCAAACAGGAUU